rnacentral:rRNA from 1 species
UACAGAGGUCCCAAGCGUUGUUCGGAUUCAUUGGGCGUAAAGGGUGCGUAGGUGGUACCGUAAGUUGGAUGUGAAAUCCCGGGGCUCAACCCCGGAACUGCAUUGGAUACUGCCUUGCUCGAGUACUGGAGAGGGAACUGGAAUUUACGGUGUAGCAGUGAAAUGCGUAGAGAUCGUAAGGAAGGCCAGUGGCGAAGGCGAGUUCCUGGACAGUUACUGACGCUGAGGCACGAAGGCCAGGGGAGCAAACGGG